CUUUGAGGCCAUAUUUACCCUUCAUCCGUUAAAUCUCUAUAUUUCCACAUAAAUUACCUAUGUUUACAUGGAUUUUAUUUCCUCCUAAAUAUAUCUAAAACAUUAUUUAAAUUUUAAUUGCCCACAAUUUUGUUAAACUUCCAUUGAUUAAUUUGGAAGUUUGGAGAGGAAUACUAGAGAACAUAGAAGUUUAGAGAUGGUAAUCUGUUUCGUCUCUCCACCACCAAAUAGGUCCGAUCAUCCCAAAAAAAUAAAUCUUAAACCACUGUUAAUUCGUCAGAUCUUCACCACCACCGAAAAACUGAAACACCACCCUUGAACAAUCAAAUCAGAUCCACCAAAUAAAUAUAUUUCUGAACAACAUUAAAUAAUCUAGAUAUAUAGAAGUUUUCUAGUAGUUGCGUCGAAUUUAGUCUCAUCUCAUCCCCGUUUCUCCAUCAAUAACCACCGCGUAACAAUCUUGUCGCCACCAGAAACCAACUUGAAUCCUCCAUCUCCAUUGUUGAACUUCACCUCACCCUCUCCACCGUCUGAAACAAUCGAAAAAACAGAGCACGUGUAGAUUGUUUGUAAAAAUUCUACCUAUUUUUUAAUCAACUCGAGAUUAAAGAUGAAAGUUG
rnacentral:lncRNA from 1 species